GGGGAUUUAGCUCAGCGGUAGAGCACUUGCCUAGGAAGCGCAAGGCCCUGGGUUCGGUCCCCAGCUCCA
rnacentral:tRNA from 1 species